GCCAGACUCCUACGGGAGGCAGCAGUGGGGGAUAUUGCACAAUGGGGGGAACCCUGAUGCAGCGACGCCGCGUGGGUGAAGAAGCGCCUCGGCGCGUAAAGCCCUUUCAGCAGGGAAGAAAAUGACGGUACCUGAAGAAGAAGCCCCGGCUAACUACGUGCCAGCAGCCGCGGUAAUACGUAGGUGGCAAGCGUUUUCCGGAUUUACUGGGUGUAAAGGGAGCGUAGGCGGUUUAGCAAGUCAGAAGUGAAAGCCCGGGGCUCAACUCCGGGACUGCUUUUGAAACUGUUGAUCUAGAUUGCAGGAGAGGUAAGUGGAAUUCCUAGUGUAGCGGUGAAAUGCGUAGAUAUUAGGAGGAACACCAGUGGCGAAGGCGGCUUACUGGACUGUAAAUGACGCUGAGGCUCGAAAGCGUGGUGAGCAAACAGGAUUAGAUACCCGCGUAC
rnacentral:rRNA from 1 species